GACGAACGCUGGCGGCGUGCUUAACACAUGCAAGUCGAACGAAGUGGCGAACGGGUGAGUAAUACGUGAGUAACCUGGCCUCCUAUCUGGGUUAGGCCUUGGAAACGGGGUCUAAUACCGAAUAAAGGGGGUUGGGCUCGCGGCCUAUCAGCUGGUUGGUGGGGUGAUGGCGUACAAAGGCGGUGACGGGUAGGCGGCCUGAGAGGGUGACCGGCCACAUUGGAACUGGUCUACGGCCCUACGGGAUGCAGGAGGGGGGAGUGGUGGAUAUUGCGCGAUAGGCGGAAGCAUGCUGCACGGACGCGGCAUGAAGGAUGAAGGCUUGCAAAUUGUAAACCUCUUUCGGUAUGGAACCGGUAGGUGGAGAAGAAGCACCGGCUAACUACGUGCCAGCAGCCGCGGUAAUAC
rnacentral:rRNA from 1 species